CAGUCCCAGAGGGCUGCAAAUGCAUUAUGCAAAGGGGUGAGAUGAAUCUGACAGGUUCAGGUGACUAAAAGAUAAUGAGCCCUCCAGUCUGCCCUACUCUGCAUCCCUUGGCAUUUAAUUCCUAGGAGGCAAGCCUCCAGGAUUCCUAUAAAAGAGAUCUCCUUUCAGUUGCCUUCAAUCACCUUGGCUUCUUUUAUCUCCAGUGCAGUUCAGCUGAAGAAGUGUUGCCUAAUCCCAGAAGGAUGUCCUGCCCGAAUCAGCAGCAGAAGCAGCAGAGCUCCGUGCCCCCCUGUAGUAAACAAUGCCCCCUGAAACAGAACCCUCAAACAUGCCCCCUGAAACAGAACCCUCAAACAUGCCCCAACAAGCCCAGCUGUGGCGGGAAGCCCCUCUGUUCUGCUGGGAAGCCCCUUUGUUCUAGGUCCAAGCAGACCCCUUGCCAAGAGGAGCAGGGCAGCAAGUAGUCUGGCUACUAAUAGAGACCUCUCCAUUGGCUGCAGGAUCAAACGCCCAGCCAUUAUUUGCUUGCCAAAUCAGUGCCCGCUUAUCCCUGAGAUGCCUCAGUGCUUGCUUUGCUAGUCCCCUCCUUCUGGUGCUUUUCCUUUCCCUACCUCCUCUGCUUGCCCAAUGGCUUGUAGCCACGAAUGCUACGUUCUCCCUCCACUGUUGGAGGCAGUGUGUCUCUGAAGACCAGUUGCUGGGAACUGCAGGUGGAGAGAGUUAUGGUUGAGCUCAGGUCCUGCUUUGAGGCUUCCCAGAGGCAUCUGGUUGACCACUGUGAGAACAGAAAGCUGCACUUCUCUGUGUUUUGCGAUGCAGUACUCUUAGGGAUUAAUGUUUACAAAACAAUGCGUGCCUUAGGGGAAAUUGUUGCUAAAAAUGCCUAUGUAUUAGUGAAAGUAAUAUAAGGUUUGGGGAGGUUGCGUGCAAAAAAAAAGUCUAUAUGUUGCAAGAUUGCAUGCAAAUAUGUGUCUAUUAGGAUAAAUUUGCAUUUGAAUGCUAAUGAAUUUUCAUGAAGACUUAACAAAGAUAUCAAACUGAUGCACAAAUGUAGAGAUCUGAACUUAAAAUUGAAGCAGAAAUGAGGAACAGAGAGAAACCAAAUUUGAGAAAUUGGUCCGUCCUGAUCCCGUACCCACUUACCUGGGAGUGAGCCCCCUGCUGAGCUCAGAGGGAUGCACUUUCAAGCAACCAUGCGUACGUUCGUGCCAUUGGCCAACAGCAGUGGGGGAAUCUUCAUGAUCAAGAAGCUCAUCCAAGUGCCGCCAGCGUCUUCCUUGCCCCGACACACUCCCCUUGUGCAUUGCCAUGCGGACGAUGUGUGGAUCCUCGCCUGCCUUCUCACAGCUCUGUUGAUGGUUCAGCGAUGUGGACACAAUCGCAGGGAUCUAGUUUUACUCUGAGGCAACCUUGUAGCCAACUGAUCUCUCUGUCUUUUUUAAACAUCAGCCUGAUGCUUAAUUGAAUGUCCCCUUUUAUUUAUUCUCCCCCGUGCUUUGCUACAAUAAACAUUUGCAAUUCAUCACA